AGUGAACGCUGGCGGUAGGCCUAACACAUGCAAGUCGAACGGCAGCACAGGAGAGCUUGCUCUCUGGGUGGCGAGUGGCGGACGGGUGAGGAAUACAUCGGAAUCUACUUUUUCGUGGGGGAUAACGUCGGGAAACUUACGCUAAUACCGCAUACGACCUACGGGUGAAAGCAGGGGACCUUCGGGCCUUGCGCGAUUGAAUGAGCCGAUGUCGGAUUAGCUAGUUGGCGGGGUAAUGGCCCACCAAGGCGACGAUCCGUAGCUGGUCUGAGAGGAUGAUCAGCCACACUGGAACUGAGACACGGUCCAGACUCCUACGGGAGGCAGCAGUGGGGAAUAUUGGACAAUGGGCGCAAGCCUGAUCCAGCCAUACCGCGUGGGUGAAGAAGGCCUUCGGGUUGUAGAGCCCUUUUGUUGGGAAAGAAAUCCAGCUGGCUAAUACCCGGUUGGGAUGACGGUACCCAAAGAAUAAGCACCGGCUAACUUCGUGCCAGCAGCCGCCGUAA
rnacentral:rRNA from 1 species